AUGUAAAUCAGUAUAUGGGGAUGUUUCCCUUACAUUCAACGUCGGGAGUACGGAAAAAUAAAAGGGGAGAUAAAAUCCCCCCUUUUUGGUUAACC
rfam:Escherichia vulneris NBRC 102420 DNA, contig: EV10242012.